GUGAAUAACAACAAGAUCCUGUUUGGAUCCGGAUCCAAAGUGAUCGUUCAGCUCAAGGAAGUGUUCGAACCAUCGUACUUCAUCCUGACGGACCCAGACGAUGAUAACAAAACAAGCAUUGGGUCCUGGUGCCUGGCAACUGGCUUCACCCAACAAAAUAUAACAAACAAUAAAACAAAUUGGGAUCUUUUCAAUAAGACCGAGGCCGUCCGGAUUGAUGGGGACUCUCUGUACAACGAGGUGGUUCCAUUGGCUCCUGGAACCAACGACACUGAGUGCAUGUCAGUGGGUGAAGAUAAAUGUGAGGAAACUCUGCAGCCAGAUGAGAAGGUGAACUUAAUGUCUUUGACCAUCCUGGGACUCAGACUUCUCUUCCUGAAGACCGUCGUGUUCAACGUCCUGAUGACGCUGCGGCUGUGGAUGAGUCAAUGAGCUCGUCAGAUCUUCACCAGAGAAAAACUCAAGAGGUCGGAUUCACGAUACGAGUCUCAGAUCGAGUCGAUGAAGCGUUGACUCGUCGCUUGCUGUCAUUUAAAUAAUAACAUUUAAAUAAUAAUCAGCUUUUAUUAUAGCAGCUGUUCAUAUCUUCAUACUGUGGACAGAUGUGAAGACUUCCUGUCACAUCUUUAUUAUUCUGUACAAGUUGAUUUUCAAUGAAUGAUUUUUUAUUCUUUAUUUCUUCCUGCUGAUGUAAAUAUAUCUGAGUUCCAGUUAAAGUCUGACAGACUGAUUGUUUUGCUUUAAGUAUAAAAAUAUUGAAACCUGUUUAUGUGAUAUUUCCUCUGUGAUGUUUAAAUAAACUCUGAA